GAGACGAGCCCCAGCCCCAGAAGUCCCAGGUGUUCCCAUUCUGUGAUCGGCACAGAACACACACACCUCACCAUGGAGUUUGUGCUUCGCUGGGUGUUCCUCGUUGCUCUUUUAAAAGGUGUCCAGUGUGACGUGCAGCUGGUGGAGUCUGGGGGAGACCUGGUGAAGCCUGGGGGGUCCGUGAGACUCACCUGUGUGUUGCCUCUGGAUUCACCUUCAGUAGCUAUUGGAUUAAUCAGUAUCUAUUGGAUGAGCUGGGUCCGCCAGGCUCCAGGAAAGGGGCUGCAGUGGGUCGCAGGAAUUAGUGGUAGUGGAGGUAGCACAGGCUACGCAGACUCCGUGAAGGGCCGAUUCACUAUCUCCAUUGACAACGCCAAGAACACGCUGUAUCUGCAGAUGGACAGCCUGAAGACUGAGGACACGGCCACAUAUUACUGUGCAAGAGGCACAGUGAGGGGACUUCACUGUGAACCCAGACACAAACCUCCCUGUAGGAGGGGAUAAGCACCACCAGGGGGC